UCCGAAUUGGUGUAGUGGUCAACAUUUGACGCUCUCAACCUGUAUGUUCUCAACCUGUAUGAACCGUCAAGCCCGGUGCUCGAUUCCCCGAUUCCGAA
rnacentral:tRNA from 1 species